UUGAACAAACUUAUAAGUAAGGGUUAUCGUACCAAUAUUGUAAUUAGAUCUCUGAAUAUAGUUUACAUUGGCACUAAUAUCGAUUUUGUCAUAGCAAGUUAAUACAUAACUAAAUUGUGGUUUUCUUUGAGGCGGGAUGUAUAGAGACACAGACACGUUGAUUUUUGUCUCUGUAGAAAUCGCUCCUCGCUAUCCUACUGCCUGUCGAUACAUUUAUUUUUGGCAUUGCACAAGUCAUGUCUUCUCUGACUGUUCAUGACUUUAAAAUGCUAAAUCCCUGUGAUGUGUUUUAGUUGAUUUUAGUCUCUGAUGCAAGAUUU
rnacentral:lncRNA from 1 species